UAGAACUAUACUUUAAUUAAAUAAAAACUAAAUUAAACCCAGAAUAGAGUACAUUCUCUGGAAAAGCUGUGAUUGUAGUGUAGUGGUUUUAAUGUAUAUUUUAAUAUAUAUGGUUUAUAGAUAUGUAACUUUUAAGUAUAUUAACAUAGUAUCAACCUAAUUGUCCUUCAAGUUGGCUCAUUUGAUUUACAAACAUGGUUUCUGAAGUUUAAUAGUAUUUGUAAUGGCAAAGUCCAAAGCAAUUUUGGCUGAGCAAAGCGCUAUUUGUUGAACAAAAAUGUAGUUGUUUGUGCAAGUUUAAACAUCUCACAAGGCCAGCUGAGUUCAUUUCAACCCUACUUACAAAAUAAUUAUUGGCAAAUGAAAUGGGCUAGGGGUAGAGACAAGAUAUUUUCAAGCUUCUGAGAGGUUCACAAAACCAAAUUUUUGCUUAUUGAAAGUGAAAUUAAAAGGUCACAGACAAUUGAAAGGUACAUAUUGAAAUCUCAGGAUUAAAAAGGGUUUUGACAAGAGGAAUAUUUACAAUGGAACAAUGAGGAAAAUGUUAUGUUACAGUCAGAAACAUGGAAAAUAUGCUGUUCAAAUUUGUUGGCUCUGGAAUAAAUAAAAUCCAGACUUAGACUAUUAAAAAUAUCAAAGUGAUCCACUAUGUGCCAACUCCAUUUUCUUCUGUUGUUUGUUAUAAAGAAAAUCCAUUAUUGAAUAUAAUACAGUUCUGGCUAAAUUAUCAAAGACAUUUUCCAUAUGCAAACUGUAGUUUACCAUAUGCUAUAUAUUCUCUAACAAUUUUAAUACCCUUCUAUCACAGAACAUAGAUGUAGAGUUAAAAGGAAAUUUCGAGUUUUAUUUCAACCUCUUAUUCAGGGCACAAGUCCCUCCCUUCCGAGUCAUUCAACUCAUGAUUAUUAGCACCUAUCAUGAGAAAGAGUUUUUGGAUGGAAAUUAAAGAUUAAACAAACAAACAAAUAAAAAUCUUCAAGAUGUUCCCCACCUGUUAGGUGGAAGAAAGUAUCCUUGUCCAGUGAUUGUCAUUAAGCCUAGACUGACACUCUGCUAGCUCAUGACAGAAGCUUACCACAUUGAAGGAAGCGCAUCCUUUCAAUGGGUCACUUCAUAAUUAGGAAGGUGCAUAUUAAACUGAGACUUGCAUCAGCUUACCCUGGUUUUGCCUUCGGGAACUACACAGAACAUACCUAUUCUAUUUUCUUCAGCUUAACUCUUCAAAGAAUUUGAGAGGACUUUCCUAUGUCUUGUAGUUUUCCCCCUUUGAGCAAUAAUCUUAAUUUACCUUAUUUUCACUACCAUAGAAUUCUUUCAUUACACUUAGGGAUUUCAAAAACUACCUCAUAUCAACCUUAACAGUUCAGUAUUGCACUAAAAUAAAACAGCAUUUUCAAAUUAGGACAUUUAGAAACCAAGAGUUAUAGCAUUCAAUUGGAUUUGAUUUGACAUUAGUCUUUUGUAAUCAGGCUAGCAUUGACCAACAACAGAUGUUUAGGGAAAAAAGAUGAAACACCUAAGUCUUGCCAACACUGGGUAUUUGAGGGAAAGGGGCAUAAAUCUUCUUUAAUGAAAUUUGAGUGAUCUAAGACAAUGACAACUUCAUAU
rnacentral:lncRNA from 1 species